GAUCAUAACUCAGGAUAAACGCUAGCGGCAGGCCUAACACAUGCAAGUCGAGGGGCAGGCGGGUGGAGUAUUUCGGUACUCCUGCCGGCGACCGGCGCACGGGUGCGUAACGCGUAUGCAACCUACCUUUAACAGGGGGAUAAUCCGAAGAAAUUUGGUCUAAUACCCCAUAAUAUCAUUUAAGGCAUCUUAGAUGGUUGAAAAUUCCGAUGGUUAGAGAUGGGCAUGCGUUGUAUUAGCUAGUUGGUGAGGUAACGG
rnacentral:rRNA from 1 species